ensembl:snoRNA
ACUUUCAAAAACAUUGGGAUUCUCAUUGGGCCUUAACUAAUGACCCACUGAGCCGUCAAGAAAGGGCAGAGUAAAAACACUGCUUUUGGGUGAAGUGUGUUGUUUUGCUUCAAUCGGUGGUGUGACAAGG